AAGCUCCUCCGGGUCCAGCGUUACCAGUUCCGGCUCCAGCACCGGUUCCCGAGCCAGCUGUUUAAAAUAUUGCAACGUUAGCACUUAGCACAAAUAUUCGAAAACAGUGGGCCCUAGGAAACCGUUUUGCUGGAAACCUGGUUGUCCAAAUCCACCUUGAUAGUAACCAGGCUGCUGGCCGAAUUGCUGGAACCCAGGCUGGCCGAAGCCGCUUUGUGGAUGACCGUAGCCACCACCGAACGGACGGUAACGCUGCGGCAUAGCCAUGGCAACAGCCAUAAGAGCAAGAGUUAUAGUAACCUGCCGGACAAAUCAAAGACAGAGUUGAAUUAAUGUCGAGCUAUUUCGAACGACGAGAUUCGACCAUCAUAUGACUAGACGAUUCAGCCAACCUUAUGCUUUUAUACGCUCGUUCAUACUGCCCGCCGACCAC